rnacentral:rRNA from 1 species
AGAGUUUGAUCCUGGCUCAGAGUGAACGCUGGCGGCGUGGAUUAGGCAUGCAAGUCGAGCGAUAUUUUAGAUUGAGAGGUUGAAGCCGUAAGGUGGAUGCUGAUUUGUCUGAUUUAUAGCGGCAGACUGGUGAGUAACACGUGAGUAAUUUACCUCUAAGCCGGGGAUAGCCUUACGAAAGCGAGGAUAAUACCCGAUGUGAAAUUGGCAGCGCAAGCUGCCAAUUUCAAAGGUGGUUCGCAAGAGUUGCCGUUUAGAGAUGAGCUCGCGCACUAUCAGCUAGUUGGUAGGGUAAUGGCCUACCAAGGCUAUUGACGGUUAGCUGGCCUGAGAGGGUGGUCAGCCACACGGGGACUGAGACACUGCCCCGACUCCUACGGGAGGCUGCAGUCGAGGAUCUUUAGCAAUGGGCGAAAGCCUGACUAUGCGACGCCGCGUGAGGGAUGAAGGCCUUCGGGUCGUAAACCUCUUUUAUUAGGGAGGAAUUACCAAGGGUGAACAAUCCUUGGGGUUGACUGUACCUGAUGAAUAAGCCACGGCUAACUCCGUGCCAGCAGCCGCGGUAAUACGGAGGUGGCAGGCGUUACUCGGUUUGACUGGGUGUAAAGGGUCCGCAGGCGGCUCAAUAUGUGAAAGGUGAAAUCCUUUUGCUUAACGAAAGAAUGGCCUUUCAAACUAUUGAGCUUGAGGAUGGGAGAGGAGAGCGGAACUGCCGGUGUAAGGGUGAAAUCUGUGGAUAUCGGCAGGAACGCCUGUAGUGAAGACGGCUCUCUGGUCCAUUCCUGACGCUCAGGGACGAAAGCUAGGGGAGCAAACAGAAUUAGAUACCCUGGUAGUCC